AUACGUAGGUGGCAAGCGUUGUCCGGAUUUAUUGGGCGUAAAGCGAGCGCAGGCGGUCUCUUAAGUCUGAUGUGAAAGCCCCCGGCUCAACCGGGGAGGGUCAUUGGAAACUGGGAGACUUGAGUGCAGAAGAGGAGAGUGGAAUUCCAUGUGUAGCGGUGAAAUGCGUAGAUAUAUGGAGGAACACCAGUGGCGAAGGCGGCUCUCUGGUCUGUAACUGACGCGGAGGCUCGAAAGCGUGGCGAGCAAACAGGAUUAGAUACCCUGGUAGUCCACGCCGUAAACGAUGAGUGCUAAGUGUUGGAGGGUUUCCGCCCUUCAGUGCUGCAGCUAACGCAUUAAGCACUCCGCCUGGGGAGUACGGCCGCAAGGCUGAAACUCAAAUGAAUUGACGGGG
rnacentral:rRNA from 1 species